GUUGCUUUGGUUGAGUGGUUAAGAUGUGUGCCUAUUAAGUACAUGGGGUUUCCUCGUGACAAUUCGAUUCUCUCAGGCAACG
rnacentral:tRNA from 1 species